rnacentral:misc_RNA from 1 species
UGGAGGCAAUUCCUUGAGACAAUUACUGCGCAUCCGGAAGCUCCACUCUACCACUAUGGCAGUUAUGAGCCACGAGCGCUCGCUAAAUUAGCAGCACGAUACCAGACGGAGUACGAGUACAUCCGGGUUCGGCUGGUUAAUGUCAAUGAAUACAUCUACGGGAAUAUAUACUUUCCAACUCGAUAGAACCGCCUGAAGGAUAUCGCCGGUUUCAUCGGAGUGCGCUGGAGCUCGCCUCAUGCUUCUGGCUUGCAAAGCCUCGCAUGGCGCUACCUCUGGGAGGAAACAGGAACCAGCACGUAUAAGCAGGCAUUGAC